rnacentral:rRNA from 1 species
UACAGAGGUGGCAAGCGUUGUUCGGAAUUACUGGGCGUAAAGGGCGCGUAGGCGGCCUACUAAGUCAGACGUGAAAUCCCCCGGCUUAACCUGGGAACUGCGUCUGAUACUGGAAGGCUUGAGUAUGGGAGAGGGAUGUAGAAUUCCACGUGUAGCAGUGAAAUGCGUAGAGAUGUGGAGGAACACCGAUGGCGAAGGCAGCCCCCUGGGAUGAGACUGACGCUCAUGUACGAAAGCGUGGGGAGCAAACAGG